rnacentral:rRNA from 1 species
UGCCUUACACAUGCAAGUCGAACGGCAGCAUAGGAGCUUGCUCCUGAUGGCGAGUGGCGAACGGGUGAGUAAUAUAUCGGAACGUGCCCUAGAGUGGGGGAUAACUAGUCGAAAGACUAGCUAAUACCGCAUACGAUCUACGGAUGAAAGUGGGGGAUCGCAAGACCUCAUGCUCCUGGAGCGGCCGAUAUCUGAUUAGCUAGUUGGUGGGGUAAAAGCCUACCAAGGCGACGAUCAGUAGCUGGUCUGAGAGGACGACCAGCCACACUGGGACUGAGACACGGCCCAGACUCCUACGGGAGGCAGCAGUGGGGAAUUUGGACAAUGGGGGCAACCCUGAUCCAGCAAUGCCGCGUGAGUGAAGAAGUGCCUUCGGGUUGUAAAGCUCUNUUGUCAGGGGAAGAAACGGUGGUAGCUAAUAUCUAUUACUAAAUGACAGGUACCUGAAGAAUAAAGCACCGGCUAACUACGUAGCCAGCANCCGCGGUAAAUACGUAGGNGUGCAAGCGUUAAUCGGAAUUACUUGGGCGUACAGCGUG